AGAGGGUCCCCCAACGCUGGAAGCGGGUGUGCGCUCCCGCUGCACAGGGCACCGGCCGCUCCCGCAACGCCGGCACGGUGGGCUCAUUUGCAGUUACCUGAACUAGAAUGUAACCAACUGAAAAGGUUUCAUUUUCUAACAGACUGUUGAGGAGAACCAUUGCCUGGAUGUCCAUCAUGUCUAAUUUUAUGGACCUACCUAAGGUAUCUAUUUUGAAGUAUAAAUAUUUGAAGUAAAUAAUUUAAAGGUUAGUUUUCUAGGCGUUUUCUGUACUGUAUUUUAAUCAUGUAGUAAAAAGCAGGUCUUCAUUACAUUUUUGACCACUUGCAAAUGUGAAGUAGUAUUUCCUAAUAAGCACAAACUUUACAAAAAAAGUUUAUUUUAUACACCCCAUACUAACAACACAUUUGAAAGUUGGUGGUUUAAAAUCCAUCUACAUUGAGAUUUUAGUAGGUAGUAUUUACAUUAAAGCAACUGGAGAGUUCAAGUUUUUCCCUACGGGGGUUGGGGGGGAGGGAGAGAAAGAAAGGGGGAGUUUGCUUGUAAUUUUCUAAUACCUCAAGGAAAAAGAAAACCUUUUAGUCUUUCCAUUCUUCUUCGUUCUCUGACCCAGUCUCCUCACCUGCAAAAUGAGUUUUAGAAUAUAAGUGUCCCAUACUAGGCAAAAGAUUUUUAAGAACUUCCCUAUCAUAGAUUCACUAGAAGUGCUAGCUGAUUUGUAUUGUAACUAAGCUAGACAUGCAUAUGUUUCAUUAUUGCUGUUUCCUAAGACUUAAAUUACAAUACAUAGCUCUUCAUUUAGUAACUGCUUAUAAAAAUUAUUGAUGUGAGAGCGAUGUAGGGCCUUCAGGACAAGGGUUUCAAGUUUAUCUUCAGAUGAUUCUUCCUGUAAGUCAGUCAGCCUAAAAGUUAACAAGUCAGAUCACAGGGCACAGUGGCAGUCCAUGGAAUUAAAUGUAAUACAUGAACAGGGCCGGUGCAAGGAUAUUUUGCACCCU